rnacentral:rRNA from 1 species
ACGGGACCCGCACAAGCGGUGGAUUAUGUUGUUUAAUUCGACGCAACGCGAAGAACCUUACCAGGCCUUGACAUACUCGGCAAAGCUCUAGAGAUAGAGUGGAGGUUUAUCCGGGAUACAGGUGGUGCAUGGUUGUCGUCAGCUCGUGUCGUGAGAUGUUGGGUUAAGUCCCGCAACGAGCGCAACCCUUGUCUUUAGUUACCAUCAUUCAGUUGGGGACUCUAGAGAGACUGCCGGUGAUAAACCGGAGGAAGGUGGGGAUGACGUCAAAUCAUCAUGCCCCUUAUGGCCUGGGCUACAAACGUAAUACAAUGGCGUAUACAAAGGGAUGCGAAAGGGCGACCUGGAGCAAAACUCACAAAGUACGUCUCAGUUCAGAUUGGAGUCUGCAACUCGACUCCAUGAAGGCGGAAUCGCUAGUAAUCGCGGAUCAGCAUGCCGCGGUGAAUACGUUCUCGGGGUUU